AUUGAACGCUGGCGGCAUGCUUUACACAUGCAAGUCGAACGGUAACAGGCCGCAAGGUGCUGACGAGUGGCGAACGGGUGAGUAAUGCAUCGGAACGUGCCCAGUCGUGGGGGAUAACGCAGCGAAAGCUGCGCUAAUACCGCAUACGAUCUAUGGAUGAAAGCGGGGGACCGUAAGGCCUCGCGCGAUUGGAGCGGCCGAUGUCAGAUUAGGUAGUUGGUGGGGUAAAGGCUCACCAAGCCAACGAUCUGUAGCUGGUCUGAGAGGACGACCAGCCGCACUGGGACUGAGACACGGCCCAGACUCCUACGGGAGGCAGCAGUGGGGAAUUUUGGACAAUGGGCGCAAGCCUGAUCCAGCAAUGCCGCGUGCAGGAAGAAGGCCUUCGGGUUGUAAACUGCUUUUGUACGGAGCGAAAAGGCUCCCUCUAAUACAGGGGGCUCAUGACGGUACCGUAAGAAUAAGCACCGGCUAACUACGUGCCAGCCGCCGCCGUAAUAC
rnacentral:rRNA from 1 species